CUGCCCUUGAUGGGCGGCUGAUCACCCAUAUCCAGCAAGAGACUGCUCCCGUUUCCCUCAAGCUGUCAGGUAACCAUCUUGAGACUUUAAGUUUUCAUGUUUUCCCUUGUCUUCAAGUUCCAAUCGUGCUUGGCUUGCCUUGGCUGAGGCUCCAUAACCCCAUCAUCGACUAGACCGUGCCCAAGAUCACCUCAUGGAGCAAGUUCUGUCAUGAGAACUGCUUGCGAUCUGCUGCGGUGCCCCCAAGUGGCCGAAGUCGGAGUAAAUUCCCUGACCUAUCAGGCCUUACAAUUGCGCUAUUGAACUACAGCCCGGUGCACAGCUACCUAGCAGCCGUCUUUUUAACAUCUCUCGUCCAGAGCAGGAGGCCAUGGAGACCUACAUCAGCGAGUCAUUGGGUGCAGGGCAACAGUUUUCACCAAGUUGGAUCUGCGCCAGGCCUACUACCUUGUCCGCAUUCGGGUGGGAGACGAGUGGAAGACAGCAUUUAACACCCAUAGAGGGCACUACGAGUACCUCGUAAUGCCUUUCGGCCUGACCAAUGCCCCUGCUGUCUUCCAGGCACUAGUCAAUGACGUCCUCCGUGACAUGAUCAGAAAAUGUGUUUUUGUGUACGUGGAUGACAUCCUGGUUUUCUCCCGUUCCGUCGCAGAUCACGAACGACAUGUUCGACAAGUACUUCAGAGACUCCUUGAGAACAAGCUCUUUGUUAAAGCAAAAAAGUGUGAGUUCCAUGUUCCAAAGACCACCUUUUUGGGUUACGUCAUUGCUGAGGGGCAGCUUCAAAUGGA